UCCGUAGGUGAACCUGCGAAAGGAUCAUUG
rnacentral:rRNA from 8 species